AAUAACAUAAAUAAGUAUCAUAAGUAAGCAUUCUCAGUAAAGUAUUUGAUAGUGUAAUUAACAAAUGUAUGAAUACUCUUAUGCAAGAAUGUGUGUAUGAGUGAUGAUUUUAUAUAUAACUUUGUAUUGUAAGUGUGAUUGGAUUAUGCAAAUUUAUAUAAAUCACAAUGAAGUAAACCUUUCCUUGUAGAUAUGUGUAUUGUACAUGUUAAUUGUUGUCUGAACUAUUCUCAGUCACGUGACAUAUGUAUAUAUUUUCAUGUGUUAUAUUUGCUUGGCUCAGGUAUCACAAUCCUGUAGUAUGCGGAGGGUUGACCGCCCGUAACAACACUCCCGUGUCACCCACAGGAGUGUCUACUGAUAUCAACUGAUAUCCACUGAAUCCUCAGAAUAAACGAGUUGACCUCA